UACGUAGGGGGGCAAGCGUUGUCCGGAAUCAUUGGGCGUAAAGCGCGUGUAGGCGGCUCGAUAAGUCCGCUCUGAAAGUCCAGGGCUCAACCCUGGGAUGCGGGUGGAUACUGUCGGGCUCGAGUCCGGAAGAGGCGAGUGGGAAAUUCCUGGGUGUAGCGGUGAAAUGACGCAGAUAUCAGGAGGAACACCAAUGGCGAAGGCAGCUCGCUGGGACGUGACUGACGCUGAGACGCGAAAGCGUGGGGAGCAAACAGG
rnacentral:rRNA from 1 species